rnacentral:rRNA from 1 species
AACGAACGCUGGCGGCAGGCUUAACACAUGCAAGUCGAGCGCAUCCUUCGGGGUGAGCGGCAGACGGGUGAGUAACGCGUGGGAAUGUACCCUUUGCUACGGAAUAGCUCCGGGAAACUGGAAUUAAUACCGUAUGAGCCCUUCGGGGGAAAGAUUUAUCGGCAAAGGAUCAGCCCGCGUUGGAUUAGCUAGUUGGUGGGGUAAAGGCCUACCAAGGCGACGAUCCAUAGCUGGUCUGAGAGGAUGAUCAGCCACAUUGGGACUGAGACACGGCCCAAACUCCUACGGGAGGCAGCAGUGGGGAAUAUUGGACAAUGGGCGCAAGCCUGAUCCAGCCAUGCCGCGUGAGUGAUGAAGGCCUUAGGGUUGUAAAGCUCUUUCAGUAGGGAAGAUAAUGACGGUACCUACAGAAGAAGCCCCGGCUAACUUCGUGCCAGCAGCCGCCGUAA